AUUCCUAAACUGUUAGUAACAAAACUCCCACAAUCAAUCCCAACCUUCCUUUUGUCGUCAUAAACCUUGUGUCAAAAUUUCAUAGAUUUCUAUUUACUUAAACUAAAGUUAUAGUGCGAAAACCAAGAAAAUGCUUAUUUGGGCCCUUUUUGGCCCCUAAUUCCGAAAAUGUUGGGACCAAAACUCCCAAAAUCAAUCCCAACCUUCCUUUUGUGGUUAUAAACCUUGUGUUUAAAUUUCAUAGAUUUCUAUUCCCUUUUACUAAAGUUAGAGUGCGAAAACUAAAAGAAUUCAGAAAACGACGACGACGCAGACGACGCCGCCAACAUGAUACCAAUAUACGACUAAAAAAAUUUCAAUUUUUGCGGUCGUAUAAAAAUGACAAAUACAAUUAUAUUGCUAACAAUACUAACAAAUUGAAAGUAGCUAUGUCACAACGGUCUGAUUCUAGUUCUAGAAAAUUUAUGACAUACAUGUAUCAUCAAUAAACAAGAUCACAGCAAAUUUCACUGUGACAUGUGUAUCACUAUUAACUCUAUUUGCAAUCACUAAAACCAUUAGAAUGCAGUAACCCUUAUUGGUAUUACAUUACCAUUGAGAAAAAUAUAAAAA
rnacentral:lncRNA from 1 species